UAGGAUUCGGGUUUUCGGGUUUGACCCGACCCGAUACCCGUACGACCCGCACGUGCAACUCACGUGCACUGCUUUUUUUUGUGGCGGAUCCGGGCUACCGAAUUGUGGGUUAACGGGUUUAGGCCUUACCCGUUAAUCCUUUCUUCAACCUCCCGAUGGGUUCGGGAGGAUACGCCGAUCUCUGCGGCGGCGGUCGCGGGGCGGGUCGGCGAUCACAGGCGGCGGCCGGUCACGAGCUCCGGCUGGUGGCGGCUGUGGACUGUUGGCGACAGACAACGGCUCGGUGGGAUGGGCGUCUCCUCUGCGGACCCAGCGCAGGCGGCCAGUGGCAAACGUGGGCGGCUCGGUGGGGUGCUCGUCGGCAGAGUUCGACGGCGGGGAGGCGGCGCGAUGCGGGGUGGUGGUGGCCUCGGGCGCGGUGACGGGUGGAAGGGGAAGAGCAGCCGCAGGGUUUUUUUUUUUAGUGAAAACCGAGAGGAGAAGAAGAACAGGUUAAGGGUUUUUUUUUUUUUCCUUGGUGAGACCUGAGAGGGAGGACUCGCACACACGGAAACAGGGCGCGGGAGUUCUGCUUCGAAAGAAGAAAGGAUCAGAACCUUUCUCGUAUGGCAGGAAAUCUGACAGGGCAAGAUGUUCUGUUGCUCCAAUAAACAGAUCGGGCUUUGGCAACAGGGGCAAAACCAGCCUUGCUCUGAUACCAAGUUGAUGCCGAACCAAAUUUAAAAUGGAAGCAGAAGAAGAGGGGAAGAGGAGGAGGAAGAAGAAGAGAAGAAGGAGAAGGAAGGAGGAGAAAGGAGAGGAAAACGUGGGGGAAAGAAAUUUC
rnacentral:lncRNA from 1 species